CAAUAGCGUAUAUUAAAGUUGUUGCAGUUAAAAAGCUCGUAGUUGGAUUUCUGGUGGGAACGACCGGUCGGCGCUUAACGGCAUGUGCACUGGAGUUGUCUCUUGCCAUCCUUGAGGAGAACGUGUCUGGCAUUAAGUUGUCGGGCUUGGGAUCCUCAUCGUUUACUGUGAAAAAAUUAGAGUGUUUAAAGCAAGCAUUUGCUGUGAAUACAUUAGCAUGGAAUAAUAAAAUAGGACUUUGGUACUAUUUUGUUGGUUUGCGUACCAAGGUAAUGAUUAAUAAAGAUAGUUGGGGGUAUUCGUAUUCAAUUGUCAGAGGUGAAAUUCUUGGAUUUAUGGAAGACGAACAACUGCGAAAGCAUUUACCAAGGAUGUUUUCAUUAA
rnacentral:rRNA from 1 species